rnacentral:rRNA from 1 species
GACGAACGCUGGCGGCGUGCCUAACACAUGCAAGUCGAACGAAACGUCCGGGUCUUUUGGCGCACGGGUGCGUACGGCGUGGGAAGCUGCACUUGGGUAUGGUCUACCUACCCGAGGGGGAUGCUCAUGCAGCAUGGUGUCUUAGGCCCAAGGAUUUAUUGCUUUAGGUUGGGCCCUCGUUGGAUUCGGUUGUUGGUAGGGUAAAAGCAUACUAAGGGGAGGAUUCAUAGCUGGUGUGAGAGCAUGAUUAGCCACACUUGGGUUACGACACGGCCCAGCCUCCUACGGAACGGAGCAGAGGGUAACAUUGGACAAUGGGCGAAAGCCUGAUCCAGCAAUGCCGGGUAAGUGAUGAAGGCCGUAGGGUUCUAAAGCUCUUUUACCCGGGAUGAUAAUGACGGUACCGGGAGAAGAAGCUCCGGCUAACUCCGUG